CUACGGGGUGCUGCAGGCGCGAAACCUUUACAAUGCACGCAAGUGUGAUAAGGGGAUCCUAAGUGCUCAUGCAUAGCAUGGGCUUUUGCCAAGAGUAAAUAUCUUGGAGAAUAAGUGGUGGGUAAGACUGGUGCCAGCCGCCGCGGUAACACCAGCGCCACGAGUGGCAUCCACGUUUAUUGGGCCUAAAGCGUCCGUAGCCGGUUUGGUAAAUUUCUUGUGAAAUCGUCGGGCUCAACCCGACGGCGCGCUUGAAACACUGCCAGACUUGAGACCGGGAGGAGUUAGAGGUAUUCCAGGGGGAGCGGUAAAAUGUGAUAAUCCCUGGAGGAUCACCUAUGGCGAAGGCAUCUAACCAGAACGGAUCUGACGGUCAGGGACGAAGGCUAGGGGAGCGAUCCGGAUUAGAUACCCGCGUAGUC
rnacentral:rRNA from 1 species